UACGUAGGGUGCAAGCGUUGUCCGGAAUUAUUGGGCGUAAAGGGCUCGUAGGCGGUCCAUCGCGUCGGGAGUGAAAAGCUGGGGCUUAACCCCAGUCCUGCUUCCGAUACGGGUGGACUAGAGGUAGGUAGGGGAGAUCGGAAUUCCUGGUGUAGCGGUGAAAUGCGCAGAUAUCAGGAGGAACACCGGUGGCGAAGGCGGAUCUCUGGGCCUUACCUGACGCUGAGGAGCGGAAAGCAUGGGGAGCGAACAGG
rnacentral:rRNA from 1 species